GUGUAGUAUGAAAGGAGAGACGUUUAGCACUCCCCUAGACAAGGACGGAAUAACACAUAUAAUGGUAAGAGCACAGCCGCCUCUGGGCGGCGCUUACCACCAUUUUUUU